AUCCUUUUGUGGUUCAGGAGCGUGAUGACUGGGUUUUCAGGCUAAUGUGUGAGAAGUGCCUCCCUCAAAUCUUGUUAUGACUCGAUGUUGGCAAAUUAAUGUCUGAAG
rnacentral:snoRNA from 1 species